GUCGGGAACCUUCUCUCACCUUUCCUGGAGAAAUCCGCGGGCAACUGCGUGUUUCCCACGGCGUGUUUCCAACUUGCCGUUCUUAUACAGCACCGACCGACCUUCCACGGGCAACUGCGUGUAUCCCACGGCAUGUUUCCAACUUGCCGUUCUUAUGCAGCAACGACCGACCCUUCCCACCGAUUCGUUCUUGUCGGCCACAACUAAGAAGGAAUUCCAUCUCAGCCGUUGCUUCUUUCCUUUACACUCUGAUCUGGAUCGUUGGCUGCCUCGCUUGAAAUCUAUAAGUGACGGGACUCCCUGCCCUUCCUUGCCACCGUUGUUUUGGUUUCUGGUAUGCGUCGUUCCGUGUCUCCUUAGCCACCCGUUGAUCGUCGAUGGCGGUGCACCCAAUUCCUCAGCCGUCCGUUUUUCGUUGAUUUCGUUUUCGAAUUGGAUGAUCUGUUCUCGAUAGGUGGUGCAUCCAAAGCCUUUUAAUCGUGUGAUUUCGGAUUCGGGCACUUGAAAUUGGUAUUGAGCGAAUCGGAAGAUCUGAUUUUGAUGGAUGGUAGAUCAAAAGCCUUUCAAAUCUUGUGGUUUACGUUAUUGAGCAGUUGAAAUUGGUCUUGAACGAAUUGGGUAAUCUAUUUUCGAUCGAUGAUGGAUCGGAAAAUUUUGAUAUAUGUCGUUUUAUUUUUCGAGCACUUCAAACACGAAAUUGGAUGAUCUAUUUUCCUAAGAAAUACGGAAGGUUGAGAGGGGACUUCACAAGUUGCUUAUGCUCCUAGUUUUUUGAAAGAUUAAAUUAUCCUAACUCGCUAGUACGAUGAUCCCAAAUUAUCGAUCUCUCCUUUGUGGCAGAUUUUAUAUAUAUCAUCGACGCGGCUGGUGGUUGGUGAGGCUGUGGUGUUUAUAUGGUUUUUAUCUGUAUGGAGCCCACACUGAGCCUGUGAUGAAGAUUGUUAAGGAUCCUCUGGUUUCCGUUGAAUGAUAAAAAUAGGUUUUCGAUUAGAUAGUGGUUUAUUUAAGGGGUUUCUUUGCUGUGACACACACCGCUUAUUAUCAUGGAUGCAGGUCCUCAGAAAUGCUCUGAACAAUGGAUGUGUCCGGUUUGUGCUGGUUUAGUCGGCCCUCGUUACUUUCAACUAUCAUUUGUUGUACUUAUGUGCACAAGUCAGUUAUUUUGAUACGGUUCUCAUCAAAAUAUGGUUGUUUGUUUUAUUUGUUGUGCAAGGGAAAGCUGAUGGACAUCUAGUUUUGCAUGGGCAUGUGACAGUAUCUUUUUGAAAGAGAGAUGUGAUUGUUUUGCUCUCUUUUGGUAUUUGGUUUUAAUGGAAGAGGUUCCAUUAACUUCUCAUUUUUUCAGCAUUGGCAGUUUAAUUUGUUGAUUAUUUUCCCUGUCUACUACUUCCGUUGGCAUGCUUGGUACAUUUUAUAAAUUUGCACUUUUGAUUUGCAGAAGGAUCAGCAUUAGCCAUAAGUCUGGUAAAUAGACAUGGUUACUGACCUUUCUUGGAUUGUAUUUGGUAUGAGAAGUGGGUUUACAUUUUUGGUAAGGUUAGUUUAGAUUUAGGAGUCCAAAUUAUUCCCAAAAAUUCGAGAUUUUAUGUUUUUAUCCAAAUGUUAAUUGUUCUUGUUGUCAUGAAUUUUCAGCAGUUACUUGCUGGACUAGUCUUAUUAGAAGAUCAUUUGAACUUCUCAUUUGUCUCUUCUGGGAUUCUUUGUCAGAUAUCUACUUUGCAGCUUAGUUGUCUUUUUGUUUUAACCUGCUUCUGGUCAGGUCAUGAGGUAUUUGGUACCAGUUAUCUUGUAGAUGUUUUUUGAGUAUGAUGAUGAAUCAUAGGAAAUACGGAAGAUCGAGAGUUUAGGAAUUACGGCAGCUUCUAUUGGUUCUAGUUGAUUCCGAUUAUUAUUUUAAUUACUUGAGGUUUUCCGUUGCCAGAGGACUGCACAGUAUUUAUGGUUUAUAUGCUUCUAGUGCUUUGAAAGAUUGAUUGUUAUAACUCGUGAAUACCUUGAUCCAGAAUUCUCGAGCUCUCUUUUGUGGCAGAUUCUAUAUGCAGUUGGUGAGGCUGUGUUGUGUAUGUGGUUAUUAUCUGUAUGGAGCCCACACAGACCCUAUGAUGCAGUUUGUUCAGGAUGCUCUGGUUUCCUUUGAAUGAUUAAAAUAGGUUUUCCGUUAGAUUCUGUUAUAUUUUAGGGGGUUCUUUGCUGUGAAAUACACUGCUUAUUAUCAUGGAUGCAGGUCUUCUGAAAUGCUCUGAACCAGAGUCUGAACAAUGAAUAUGUCCAGUUUGUGCUGGUUUAGUUGGCCGUCAUUACUUUCAACUAUUAUUUGUUGCACUUGUCUGCACAAGUUGGUCAUUUGAUACGGUUCUCAUCAAAAUAUGGUUGUUUGUUUUUAUUUGUUGUGUGCAAGGGAAAGGAGAUGGACAUCUAUUUUUGCAUGGACAUGUGAGUAGUUUUUUGAAAGAGAGAUGUGUGUGUUUUGCUACUUUCCUAUGGUAUUUGGUUUUAAAUAUGCUCUAACCCUUUGAUCAACUUUGCUGUGCCUGUUGUAUAUCUCUAGUUGGAUGUAGACGGGUCUCAAGUAAGAAGUUCCAUUAACUUCUCAUUUUUUCUGCACUGGCUGUUUAAUUGUUGUUUAUUUUCCCUGUCUGCCACUUCUGUUGGCAUGCUUGUGACAUUUUAUAAAUUUGCACUUUUGAAGUUAUUCGUUCUCUUUGUUUUCUUAAUGUUCUAUUACUAGUGUUUUUGUGUGCAGUUGCAGAAGCAUCAGCAUUAGCCAUAAGUCUGGUAAUUAGACAUGGGUACUGUCCUUUUUUGGAUUGUAAUUGGUAUGAAACAUAGGUUUUACCUUUUUGAUAUGGCUAGUUUAGAUCUAUGAGUGCAAAUUAUUCACGAUUUUUUGGGAUAUUAUGUUUUUGUCCAAAUGUUAAGUAUUCCUAUUGUUGUUAAUUUUCAGCAGCUACUUGCAUGGCAAGUAUUAUUUGAAGGUCAUAUGAAUUUCUGAUUUGUCUCUUCUUAGAUUCUUUGUCAGAAUUGUAAUUUGCAGCUUAAUUGUCUUUUUUUUUUAACCUGUCUUGAGGUAUUUAGUUUCAGUUAUCUUGUAUAUGUUUUUUUAAUAUGACACUAAAUAAUAAGAAUUACAGAAGAUUGAGAGGUUAGGAGUUCCGACAGCUUCUAUUGGUUAUAGUUGAUUUCAAUUAUUAUUUUAAUUGCUUUAGGUUUUUCCUUGCAUUCUCUCAAAGGACUUCACAAUUUGCAGGAUUUAGGGUUUUUAUGAUCCUAGUGCUUUGAAAGAUUAGAUUGUCAUAACUCGCAAGUACUGUGAUCCAAAAUUCUCGAGUCUCUUUUGUGGUAGAUUCUAAAUGUCUCACUGAUGUGGUUAGUGAUGCUGUGGUGUUUAUGUGGUUAUUAUCUGUGUGGUGCGCACACAGACCCAAAGGUGCAGUUUGUUAAGGAUGCUUUGCUUUCCGUUGAAUUAUUAAAAUAGGUUUUCCAUUAGAUAGUGUUAUCUUUAAGGGGUUUCUUUGCUGUGACAUACAUUGCUUAUUAUCUGGUUUGAACAAUGGGUCCUCGUUACUUUCAACUAUUAUUUGUUGCACUUAUGUGCACAUGUUGGUGUUUUGAUAUGGUUCUCAUCAAAAUAUGGAUUGUUUUUAUUUGUUGUGUGCAAGGGAAAGGAGAUGGACAUCUAGUUUUGCAUGGGCAUGUGACAAUAGAUUUUUGAAAGAGAGAUGUGAAUGUUUUGCUACCUUCCUAUGGCAUUUGGUUUUCAGUAUGCUCUAACCCUAUCAUCAACAUUGCUGUGUCUGUUGUUUAUCUCUUGUUGGAUGUAGAAGUUUCUCAAGGAAGAGGUUCCAUUAACUGGCUGUUUAAUCGUUGAUUAUUUUCCCUAUCCUACUACUUUCGUCAGCUUACUUGGUACAUUUUAUAAAUUUGCUUUUUUGAAGUUAGUCUUUCUCUAUGUUUUCUGAAUGUUCUAUUCCUAGUGUUUUUGUUUGCAGUUGCAGAAGCAUCAGCAUUUCCCAUAAUUUUGGUAUUUAGACAUGGUAACUGACCUUUCUUGGAUUGUAUUUGGUAUGAAACAAUAGAUUUUUCCUUUUUGACAAGGCUAGAUUAGAUUUGGGUGUGCAAAUUAUGCACGAAUUUUUGAGAUAUUAUUUUUUUGUCCAAUUGUUAAUUAUUCUUGUUGUUGUGAAUUUUCAGCAGUUACUUGCUGGACAAGUCUUUUUAGAAGAUCAUUUGAAUGUCUCAUUCAUCUCUUCUGGGAUUCUCUCAGAUUUCUACUUUGGUUAGGAGUUAUGACAGCGUCUAUUGGUUGAAGUUAAUUCUGAUUAUUAUGUUAAGCACUUGAGGCGUUUCCUUAUGUUCUCUCAGAGGACUUCACAAUUUGCAGCAUUAAUAUUUUUUAUGCUUCUAGUGCUUUGAAAGAUUUGAUUGUCAUAACUCACGAGUACUGUGAUCCGAAAUUCUCAAUCUCUUGUGGCAGAUUCUAUGUAUAUUAUCAAUGUGGUUGGUGAGGCUGUGUUGUUUAUGUGGUUAUUAUCUGUUUGGAGACCACACGAAGCCCAUGAUGCAGUUUGUCAAGCAUCCUCUGGUUUCUGUUGAAUGAUUAAAAUAGGUUUUCCAUUAGAUGGUGUUAUAUUUAAGGGGUUUCUUUGCUGUAACAUGCUGCUUAUUAUCAUGGAUGCAGGUCUUCCGAAAUGCUCUGAACAAUGGAUGCAUCUGUUUUGUGCUGGUUUAGUUGGCCCUCACUACUUUCAACUAUUAUUUGUUGCACUUAAUGUGCACAAGUUGGUCAUUUGAUACAGUUACUCAUCAAAAUAUGUUUGUUUGUUUUUAUUUUUGUCAAAAGGAAAGCAUAUGGGCAUCUAGUUUUGCAUGGGCACGUGAGUGUUUUGCUUUGGUCCAAUGGUAUUUGGUUUUAAACAUUAUCUAACCGUCAUCAGCAUUGCUGCAUCUGUUGGAUAUCUCUACUACUCAAGUCAGCAAGCUUGGUACAUUUUAUAAAUUUGCGCUUUUGAAGUUAGUCUUUUUCUAUGUUUUCUGUAUGUUCUAUUCAUAGUGUUUUUGUGUGGUGUUCCAGAAGCAUCAGCAUUAGCCAUAUGUCUGGUGAUUAGACAUGGAUACUGACCUUUCUUGGGUUGUAUUUGGUAUUAGAUAUAGGUUUUACAUUUUUGAUAAGGCUAGUUUAGAUUUAGGAGUGCGAAUUAUGAGUGAACUAGAUAUUUUUUUUCGUCCAAAUGUUAAUUAUUCUUGUUGUGAUGAAUUUUCAGCAGUUCCUUGGUUGGCAAGUCUUAUUAGAAGCAAGCUUCGCGAUUUCGAAUCAUACCGCCUGUAUCGGACAGUAUGUACCGGGCGAUACGCGGACUGCUCGCUACUGAGCGGUCCACUCGAUAUAGUCCCGUAUUAGACGAUACAGGGCUGUUUCGGGCGGUAACGGUUGAAAUUUCGAUCAUUACCGUCUACUAUUGGGCGGUAUUAACCUAGCUAUGGCGAAGUUGAGGGAGAAGCAUCGAAGAAGGAAGAAGGAGAGGGCGUUCAAAGAAGAGGGAGAAGAAGAGAAAACCAUUUCCAUAUUGGGUUAAUUGCAUCCAUUGGUAUUCAUGUUUGGUUGUAGAGGUUGUCCGCCGAUUUUGUUGAAUUUUCUUGAAUUCCAUAGAGCCAUGGUUUCCAAUGGCCUGAUGGCUGUUCAUUUAUUGCCAAAAUGCAGUCCAACCAUUCCACGGAAUUACAUUUGGAUGGACAUUAUUUUCACUUUGACUUUGUGAACCUUUGGCUCUUAAAAGUACUCUUUUGGGUUUUUACUACAAUAACAACAACUAUAAAAUCGUAAGUCCUGAUUAUUUGGGCUCGGCUACUUGGAUCUUUUGCCAUCAUUGAAAUAUGUAAAAAGUUAUAUGUUUAGUUAAGUUUAAAGUAUUUAAAUCUUUAUUUAUAAUUUUUAUUUAAGUCUUUUUAGGUCUUUCUCUACCUCUUCUCAUACUACUAACAUAUUAAUUAUUUUAUGUUUUUUAACUACCACUCUUUUGGGUUUCUCUUCUUAAUUAACUUCUAGUUUCUCUUUUGAAUCAUGUUUCCUUAUAUCUUGUUUGGAAGUUAGGACAUGGUAAUGAUGGCUCAUACAGGUACUUAUUGCCAUAAAUGAGUUUUGGAUGGUGGUCUUGGGUUAUGAUAAUUGUCCUUGAUUGUUAUAUGGAUUUGUGAAGCAAUUCUAUACCUGCAAGUGAUGGCUUUGAAUAAAAGUGUUUUAAGAUGCAUUGUUUCUCUUUCCAUGUAUCAGUUUGGAGGUACAAACAUGCCAUGUUCUCUUGAUUUUUUUCCUUGAAACUCAUUCCAUAUUGCUGAUCUUUAGUAGAAUUGUUAUCUUCGUGGGCUGAAGUACCAUUUUGUUGGUCAUUAUAUUUGUUGUUAGUCUACUUGAAGCUUGUUUUGGGAGCUACCUAUCACAUUUUUCUAAUAGUUCUGUUAUUUUUCUAGACAUGGAGGUUUUGGAAUAUCAUGUUAUUAACUAAAGCAUGGAGCCUUCACAUUGUAAACAAAGGAGUCUAACUUUUGUCAAGGUAUCUUCUUGUAGAGACCCAAUUGCAGAUCGAAUAUUUCAUUGAUGAAGAUUCUUACAACCAUAUUUGAUACAAACAAGAUUUCAAGAUUAUUGUUUUGGUUAGCAUGAAGAAUAGAAGUUCUAUCUGCACUCAUAGUCAAAUAUUUUGCUACAGCUUCUUCUUGUUCUUCUGGAGGGAGAUGUCUUUUGAAAGGGGGUCAAAAAAAUCUCAAAUUGUUUGCAUGUUGUUUUCGAUUGUAUAGACAAAUAUGUUAAGUUCUAACGCAAUCAACGUUAGGUCUUUGAGUUUAUUUUUUUUAGUAUGGAUCAAAAUGUUAUAGAUGAACUUUGUGAUGUUAUAAUGAUGGUUACUGUGUUUCUUUGAGCUAUAGAAUUUUGUUGCCAAUUAGCCAUGUGUUUAUGUAAUUUGAUAUUAUCCUUGGUGGGAAUGACUUGUCAGAGAUUAGAUGAACUUUGAAAGAUGGAUCAGUUAUGACUUGCAGCUCCACUUUUUCACUUCUAUCAUGUGAUGUGCCAGCUUUUGUUGUAGUGAACUAGUGAUCAUAUUUUUUAGUUACUGGUCAUCUGGCAUACAUUGGUUUGGAUAUUUUCUUCUAAUGGGUUUUGGCUUGUCAUUGAGAAGUUCUUCUGGCAUGCUUUCUUUUGUGAGGGUAGAUCGAAAAUUUUGCUUACCCUUCCUUUGGAUCUUCAUUUUGGUUGCAAUAUCCAGACAAUGGUAAGAGCUUUUGCUGGAUCCUGUGUUUGAUGCAAGAUGGGCUUAUCCUGGCUUUGAUAAGAACUGUGGUUGCAAUAUAAGUUACAAUUUCUUUGCUUUUCUCAGGCAUAUUUUCUUCAAGUUUGAUAUGCAGUUUUUUUGUUGAACAUAUAUGUUGCAUUUGAAAUUUGUUUUGGGAAAACAAGAAUUGAGCAGCUCGGCAUCAUAUAGAUAAUAUUUUUGAGGGAAAGGAGUAUCUAUUCUCUUGGAUCAACCGAAGAAACAGUUUGGGUUGGUUCUUUUAUUCUGGUAUUCUGAAAUUAGUGAAUGAGUUCUAUGAUGAAGCAAAGAUGCACAAUACCAGGAAUCAAGAUUGCAGAACCAUAUCUUCAUUGUAUGAUGGUCAAUCUUUUCUUCAUUGGAUUGCAGACAUGAAAAGGGAUAUUUCCUGUAUUUAUCCACUUUUAACGGAGGACAUAGAAUGAUUCACCUUUGUUAGUUUCCUGCAAUAUGACCAUGUAGUUGGAAUAUCUACAGGAAGCCUGUACUGUUUAUAUGUGUUGGGAGUAUCAAAACAAUGGGUGUUUUAUGCA